rnacentral:rRNA from 1 species
CCUACGGGAGGCAGCAGUGGGGGAUAUUGCACAAUGGGGGAAACCCUGAUGCAGCCACGCCGCGUGGGCGAAUAAGUAUUUCGGUAUGGAAAGCCCUAUUAGCAGGGAAGAAGAGAUGAUGAUACCUGCGUAAGAAGCACCGGCCAAAUACGUGCCAGCAGCCGGGGUAAUACGUAUGGUUCAAGCGUUAUCCGGAUUUACUGGGGGUAAAGGGAGCGCAGGCGGGACAGCAAUCCUGAUGUGAAAGCCCGCGGCCCAACCGCGGGACUGCCGUUGGAACUGCGGGGCUGGAGUGCCGGAGAGGUAGGCGGAAUGCCUAGUGUAGCGGUGAAAUGCGUAGAUAUUAGGAGGAACACCGGUGGCGAAGGCGGCCUACUGGACGGUGACUGACGCUGAGGCUCGAAAGUGUGGGGAGCAAACAGGAUUAGAUACCCUGGUAGUC